rnacentral:tRNA from 2 species
CUCUCCGUAGCUCAGUUGGUCUUAGAGCAGGGCACUCUUAAUGCCCGGGUCGCAGGUUCGAGUCCUGCCGGGGAGAC